rnacentral:rRNA from 1 species
AGAGUUUGAUCCUGGCUCAGAACGAACGCUGGCGGCAUGCCUAACACAUGCAAGUCGAACGCUCUUGCAAGAGAGAGUGGCGCACGGGUGCGUAACACGUGGGAAUCUGCCCUUUGGUACGGAAUAACUCAGGGAAACUUGAGCUAAUGCCGUAUGAUGCCGCCCAAGAAGUUGGGAUGGCCAAAGAUUUAUCGCCAGAGGAUGAGCCCGCGUCGGAUUAGCUAGUUGGUGGGGUAAAGGCCUACCAAGGCUACGAUCCGUAGCUGGUCUGAGAGGAUGAUCAGCCACACUGGGACUGAGACACGGCCCAGACUCCUACGGGAGGCAGCAGUGGGGAAUAUUGGACAAUGGGCGAAAGCCUGAUCCAGCAAUGCCGCGUGAGUGAAGAAGGCCUUCGGGUUGUAAAGCUCUUUUACCCGGGAAGAUAAUGACUGUACCGGGAGAAUAAGCCCCGGCUAACUCCGUGCCAGCAGCCGCGGUAAUAC